CCUACGGGAUGCAGCAGUGAGGAAUAUUGGUCAAUGGACGAGAGUCUGAACCAGCCAAGUAGCGUGAAGGAUGACUGCCCUAUGGGUUGUAAACUUCUUUUAUAUGGGAAUAAAACGUUCCACGUGUGGGAUUUUGUAUGUACCAUAUGAAUAAGGAUCGGCUAACUCCGUGCCAGCAGCCGCGGUAAUACGGAGGAUCCGAGCGUUAUCCGGAUUUAUUGGGUUUAAAGGGAGCGUAGGUGGAUUGUUAAGUCAGUUGUGAAAGUUUGCGGCUCAACCGUAAAAUUGCAGUUGAGACUGGCAGUCUUGAGUACAGUAGAGGUGGGCGGAAUUCGUGGUGUAGCGGUGAAAUGCUUAGAUAUCACGAAGAACUCCGAUUGCGAAGGCAGUUCACUGGACUGCAACUGACACUGAGGCUCGAAAGUGUGGGUAUCAAACAGGAUUAGAUACCCCUGUAGUC
rnacentral:rRNA from 1 species